AUGGUUACAGUGAUGACGUCACUGCGGGCGGCGAGCCUGCUCCUGGCCGUGGGGUGGGCGCUGGGCUACGAGCAGGAGAAAGGGACAGUGACGAUGCACUCGUACGCCCGCGAGGAGCGUGGCCUCCUGGGGCCGGCCCUUCGACCCCCACCUCAUCCCGCCCCGCGCCCCCGGGGCAGGGACCAGCGGGCCACCCCCUCGCACGUCCGCCACGUCCGCGGCUUCCCCGUCUACCCCCAGUGGCACGGCUACCCCGGGCUCCACGGACACGGCUACCGUGGGCACGGCUACCACGGCUGGCCCGGGUACCCUGGGCUACAUCACGGGCACUACAGGCCCGGCUACGGGACCAUCCACGCCCACGGACACAUCGGCCCCCACGGGAUACAUUUCCAUGGGCACAUCAAGCAUAAGCCGAAGAAAAAGCCGUUUAAACAUCACAAGUAUAAGCACAAGAGGCGGCAUCGCUAUGACUCGUGGCUCUACUAACAGGGAUUCGCUCUGGCUAUAGCCGCCCGCGGAGGCUUCGCGGCUCCGUUCCUGAAACCCUACACGGAGCCCCCGAUCCCGCACACACACCACCACGGCGACCACUACCACGGCGAACGCGGCGCCUACGAGAGCCAACACAAAGUCGAUCUCGAGAGCCAACACCAACUCAGCUACGACAGCGUCAAGAAGACUCAGAUAGGCGGGGGCCACGGGUACUCCGGCUCAGGUUACGGAACUUCAGGUCUCGGAUCCCCAGGUUUAGGCCACGGGUCAGGAGGUCUCGGAUCCCCAGGUUUCAGCCACGGGUCAGGAGGUCUCGGAUCCCCAGGUUUAGGCCACGGGUCAGGAGGUCUCGGAUCCCCAGGUUUCAGCCACGGGUCAGGAGGUCUCGGAUCCCCCACCUUCAGCCAAGGCCCCAUCGGAGGCCCCCACAAAGACAUCGGCUACGGAUCCCCAACUUUCAGCGGUGGCCCCCACAAGGAUUACGGCCUCCCGAGUUUAGGCCACCAGAGCGGCGGUUUCGGCCAGUCGGGCGCCGGGAGUUUCAGCCAGUCCAGCGCGGGCAGCGUGGCGCACUCCGCGAGCGGCGUCGGCCACCAGAGCGGUUUAGGCCACGGCGGUCCGGAUUACGGCCACCAGACGAAACUCGACCACGACCUCAAGGGCCACGGUCUGGUCGGGCCGGGCACAGGAUUGACUCGGUCGGUGACAGGUACGCUAAGCGGGAUGAGGAGCACGUUAGAACCGGGAGUUCAUCCUUCAGCACGAGUUACAGCAGCUCAAACGCUGGCGCCAACUCUUAUAAGGAGUCCACGAUGAGGAGAUACUGAUAGACGAUUUAACUGAAAUUCCA
rnacentral:lncRNA from 1 species